UGGGGAAUAUUGCGCAAUGGGCGCAAGCCUGAUGCAGCCAUGCCGCGUGUAUGAAGAAGGCCUUCGGGUUGUAAAGUACUUUCAGCGGGGAGGAAGGGAGUAAAGUUAAUACCUUUGCUCAUUGACGUUACCCGCAGAAGAAGCACCGGCUAACUCCGUGCCAGCAGCCGCGGUAAUACGGAGGGUGCAAGCGUUAAUCGGAAUUACUGGGCGUAAAGCGCACGCAGGCGGUCUGUCAAGUCGGAUGUGAAAUCCCCGGGCUCAACCUGGGAACUGCAUUCGAAACUGGCAGGCUAGAGUCUUGUAGAGGGGGGUAGAAUUCCAGGUGUAGCGGUGAAAUGCGUAGAGAUCUGGAGGAAUACCGGUGGCGAAGGCGGCCCCCUGGACAAAGACUGACGCUCAGGUGCGAAAGCGUGGGGAGCAAACAGG
rnacentral:rRNA from 1 species